rnacentral:rRNA from 1 species
GCUACGGGGGGCAGCAGUGGGGAAUAUUGGACAAUGGGGGAAACCCUGAUCCAGCGACGCCGCGUGAGUGAAGAAGUAUUUCGGUACGGAAAGCUCUAUCAGCAGGAAAGAAAAUGACGGUACCUGACUAAGAAGCCCCGGCGAACGCCGUGCCAGCAGCCGCGGUAAGACGGAGGGGGCAAGAGUUAUCCGGAUUUACAGGGUGUAAAGGGAGCUUAGACGGGAGCGCAAGUCUGGCGGGAACUGCAGGGGCCCCACCCCGGAACUGCUCUGGAAACUGUGAAGCUGGAGUGCAGGAGAGGUAAGCUGAAUUCCUGGUGUAGCGGUGAACUGCGUAGUUAUCAGGCGGAACACCGGCGGCGAAGGCGGCUUACUGGACUGUCCCUGACGUUGAGGCUCGAAGUCGUGGGGAGCAAACAGGAUUAGCUACCCUGGUAGUC